rnacentral:rRNA from 1 species
CCUCUUCCCAUUCCGAACAGAGAAGUUAAGCCCGCCUGCGCCGAUGGUACUGCAAUGCAAUGCGGGAGAGUAGGAGGCCGCCACUU